rnacentral:rRNA from 1 species
CCUACGGGAGGCAGCAGUGGGGAAUAUUGGGCAAUGGGCGCAAGCCUGACCCAGCAACGCCGCGUGAAGGAAGAAGGCUUUCGGGUUGUAAACUUCUGUUGUCAGGGAAGAGUAGAAGACGGUACCUGUCGAAUAAGCCACGGCUAACUACGUGCCAGCAGCCGCGGUAAUUCGUAGGUGGCAAGCGGUGUCCGGAUUUACUGGGUGUAAAGGGCGUGUAGCCGGGUUGACAAGUCAGAUGUGAAAUCCUGCGGCUUAACCGGAGAACUGCAUUUGACACUGUUGAUCUUGAGUACUGGAGAGGCAGAUGGAAUUCCGAGUGUAGGGGUGAAAUGCGUAGAUAUUAGGAGGAACAAGAGUGGAGAAGGCGUUCUGGUGGACAGCAACUGACGGUGGGGCGCGAAAGUGUGGGGAGCAAACAGGAUUAGAUACUCUUAGUC